CAGUCGCCGCGGGAAUACGAAGGGUGCAAGCGUUAAUCGGAAUUACUGGGCGUAAAGCGUGCGUAGGCGGUUUGUUAAGUCUGUUGUGAAAUCCCCGGGCUCAACCUGGGAAUGGCAAUGGAUACUGGCAAGCUAGAGUGCGUCAGAGGAUGGUGGAAUUCCCGGUGUAGCGGUGAAAUGCGUAGAGAUCGGGAGGAACAUCUGUGGCGAGGGCGACUAUCUGGGCCAACACUGACACUGAGGCACGAAAGCGUGGGGAGCAAACAGGAUUAGAUACCCCCGUAGUCCCUGUCUCUUAUAA
rnacentral:rRNA from 1 species